ensembl:lncRNA
GGACAGGGGAAAGCUCAACACAGUCAGCUUUGUGGUGGUCACUGGGGCAACAGAGGUGAUCAGCAUCACAUGGAGCCACCAGGAACCAGUAAUGCCAGAGAUACUUCGCCAGCAGUAAUGUGUAGACAUUCAGGUCAGCAGUAAAUCACUUGCCGAAACAAUCAUCACCUUCAGAUGCUCAGCUGCAGUCCCAGAUGUUGUAAUCUCUCUUGGCUUCCUUUGAUACUCUGGAGAGAAGUUUCCUUGGAGAUCUUCCAAAUUCAGGGCUGCAGUCACCCGAAGGCUCAACUGAGGCUGGAGGAUCCACGUCUAAGGUGCCUGGAAGACUGGUUCAUGGUUUCAGAUCAAAAGCAUCCAGAAAGCAGCCUCUACAAGAAAGCAGCAGUUGUGGAAUCUGGCCAGUUGGAAAGAAUGGGUUGGCAAGACGGGACAUCUGAACCCAGCUCUAUACCCACGUGGCUGGUGUGUGAGCAGGUUUCUGCCUGUUUCUGGGACGAAGCUGCACCUCUGCCCUGAUUCUUGGGACUUCAGUCUCACUGAAGAUGGCGAAGCUCUAUACGGCCAGCAAAAACAAGACCUGGAGCUGCCCGUGACUCAGAUCAUGAGCUCCUUAUGGCAAAAUUCAAGCUUAAAUUGAGGAAAGUGGGGAAAACCACCAGGC